rnacentral:rRNA from 1 species
AACGAACGCUGGCGGCGCGCCUAACACAUGCAAGUCGGACGCACUCGGUUCUUCGGGACCGGAUGAGUGGCGGACGGGUGAGUAACACGUGGGAACCUGCCCUGGGGUCUGGGAUAGCUGCGGGAAACUGCAGGUAAGACCGGAUGUGCCCUUUGGGGGAAAAUUCAUGCCCUGGGAUGGGCCCGCGUCGGAUUAGGUAGUUGGUGGGGUAGUGGCCUACCAAGCCUGCGAUCCGUAGCCGGUCUGAGAGGAUGAUCGGCCACACUGGGACUGAGACACGGCCCAGACUCCUACGGGAGGCAGCAGUGGGGAAUCUUGGACAAUGGGGGCAACCCUGAUCCAGCGACGCCGCGUGGGUGACGAAGGCCUUCGGGUCGUAAAGCCCUUUUGCCGGGGAAGAUGAUGACGGUACCCGGAGAAGAAGCACCGGCUAACUCUGUGCCAGCCGCCGCCGUAAGAC